rnacentral:piRNA from 1 species
UUAGACAUGAAGAGAUGGUUCGCCUUGGUU